rnacentral:misc_RNA from 1 species
GUCCCGAAAUCGGGGACGGAGUUCAGACGGGAGAUGCAGCGGCACUCGGCGGCGAUGCGCCAGCUGUUCCACUACAAGGGGAACCUGGAUCCUUUAAAAGGAGACGCGCUGAACAAGCUGGUGCGGGAGACCGCGCACGAGGCGGUUUCGGCGGUGUUUGCUACUGAGGAGAGUAGGCCGCCUGCGGCGGCGCCGGUGGAAGGGCUCGGGAGGCGGAUUGAAGGGUUUGGGAAUACGAAUUAUGUGCAGGCGGAGGAGAAGAAGUCUUUUCUUAGUGAGAUGGUGGAUCUCGGGAGUGCGUCGAUUAAGCAGGGGCUUAGCACGAUUGCGG